ensembl:lncRNA
GAAGCGAUGGCUGUUUUGUGUCGUCUGUGUCAUGUUUGCACUUUGUUCGGGUUCUUUGCAUGUCUAACUCUUUGCUUUGACACACUCUGUCCUUGAGGUGUUGGCUGUUUUCCAUCUGGGUCACGUUUGGACUUAAUGCUGGUCACUCGUCUGCGUCAUUCAUGGCUUUGACAUAAAUUGAAGACAUGGGACUUUGAUUGUUUGCUGAUGUCGCCAUUUUCUUUGUUUCUUUUACAUGCCGAGAGACCGAGAUGUGCAGUGGACGAUUAAAGAGGACGUUGACAUCCAUAGAGGUGAGUCAUACACAUUUACGGAAGCGAUGGCCGUUUUGUGUCGUCUGUGUCAUGUUUGCACUUUGUUCGGGUUCUUUGCAUGUCUAACUCUUUGCUUUGACACACUCUGUCCUUGAGGUGUUGGCUGUUUAGCAUCUGGGUCACGUUUGGACUUUAUCCUGGUCACUUGUCUGCGUCAUUCAUGGCUUUGACAUAAAUUGAAGACAUGGGACUUUGAUUGUUUGCUGAUGUCGCCAUUUUCUUUGUUUCUUUUACAUGCUGAGAGACCGAGAUGUGCAGUGGACGAUUAAAGAGGACGUUGACAUCCAUAGAGAGACGAGAUGUGCAGUGGACGAUUAAAGAGGACAUUGACAUCCAUAGAGGUGAGUCAUACACAUUGACAGAAGCGAUGGUUGUUUUGUGUUGUCUGUCAUGUUUGCACUUUGUUCGGGUUCUUUGCAUGUCUAACUCUUUGCUUUGACACACUCUGUCCUUGAGGUGUUGGCUGUUUAGCAUCUGGGUCACGUUUGGACUUUAUCCUGGUCACUUGUCUGUGUCAUUCAUGGCUUUGACAUAAAUUGAAGACAUGGGACUUUGAUUGUUUGCUGAUGUCGCCAUUUUCUCUGUUUCUUUUACAUGCCGAGAGACGAGAUCUGCAGUGGACGAUUAAAGACGACGUUGACAUCCAUAGAGGUGAGUUUGUUCUUUUCUCACACUUUGCUAUUUUUCUACUUUCCUCUUUUCUCACACUUUGCUAUUUUCACACUUUGUUCUUUUUCCUCUUUUCUCACACUUUGCUAUUUUCACACUUUGUUCUUUUUCCUCUUUCCUCACACUUUGUUCUUUUUCCUCUUUCCUCACACUUUGCUAUUUUCACACUUUGUUUUUUUUCCAUACUUUGUUCUUUUUCCUCUUUUUUCACACUUUGCUAUUUUCACACUUUGUUCUUUUUCCUCUUUCCUCAC